rnacentral:misc_RNA from 1 species
GAUGAAGAACGUAGCGAAAUGUGAUACGUAAUGUGAAUUGCAGAAUUCAGUGAAUCAUCGAAUCUUUGAACGCACAUUGCACUCCUUGGUAUUCCGAGGAGUAUGCCUGUUUCAGUAUCAUGAGCACUCUCACAUCUAACCUUUGGGUUAAAAUGUGGAAUUGGGAUGCGCCGGUUAUUAUAACGGCCCUCCUAAAAUUCAGUUCUUGGCUGCUUCCUACUACAGCAGUUUGGCCUAAUAGUUUUGAGUCUUCGAUUCAAAUCUUUGGCUAACAUUUGCUUCAGGAUGUCAGUCUUGAUAUACAGAAAUCUCAUUCAAACUUUGAUCUGAAAUCAGGUAGGGCUACCCGCUGAACUUAAGCAUAUCAAUAAGCGGAGGA